CCGGAUAAGUGGUAUAUUUCUCGCAGUUCUCUCCAACGUGUUGAAAAACUUUAAUACAUCUAAAGGGUUUUUGAAUGGUAUUUCUGUUGAACUAUCUCGAAAUCAUGCAUUUUUGUUGACGUAUCGACACAUAACAAGGAUUGUCACCUUCGCAAGGCGUGCCGCCUCACGCUCUGUUUCAGGUCGUGCCAACCCAAAAAUUCAGCAUGGCAACAAAACUUGAUGUACGCCAGUCAACAUACA